UUAGAGAACCCCUGUUAAGGAACUCGGCAAAAUGCACGUGUAACUUCGGGAUAAGCGUGGCCUCAAGUAGGUGAUGGGGAGAAACCGAAGCUGAAAGAGGUUGCAAAAAAGAGGCUCUGGCGACUGUUUACCAAAAACACAGAUCUCUGCUAAGACUUAAGUCUAAGUAUAGGGAUUGAGACCUGCCCGGUGCCAGAAGGUUAAAGAAGGGGGUCAACGGGGUAACCCGUGAAGCUCUUGACUGAAGCCCUGGUAAACGGCGGCUGUAACAAUAACAGUCCUAAGGUAGCGAAGUUCCUUGUCGGGUAAGUUCCGACCUGCAUGAAUGGUAUAACGACUGGAGCGCUGUCUCAACAGGGGACUUGGUGAAAUUGAAGUAUCGGUGCAAAUACCGAUUACCCGCAGCUAGACGGAGAGACCCUGUGAACCUUUACUGUACCCUGGCAUUGUAUUCUGGCACGUUCUGUGUAGGAUAGGUGGGAGGCUAUGAAGCGUGGGCGCCAGCUUGCGUGGAGCCAACCUUGAAAUACCACCCUUAACGUGUCGGACUACUAACGGAUGCUGUGGAAGCAUCUAGACAGUGUCAGGCGGGCAGUUUGACUGGGGCGGUCACCUCCCAAAGUGUAACGGAGGUGUACGAAGGUUCCCUCGAGCUGUAUAGAAAUCAGCUGAAAGAGCGUAAAGGUAUAAGGGAGCUUGACUGCGAGAGAGACAUCUCGAGCAGGGACGAAAGUCGGUCUUAGUGAUCCGGUGGUUUUUGUAUGGAAAAGCCAUCGCUUAACGGACAAAAGGUACUCCGGGGAUAACAGGCUGAUACCGCCCAAGAGUUCACAUCGACGGCGGUGUUUGGCACUUCGAUGUCGGCUCAACUCAUCCUGGGGCUGAAGUAGGUCCCAAGGGUUCGGCUGUUCGCCGAUUAAAGAGUUACGUGAGCUGGGUUCAGAACGUCGUGAGACAGUUCGGUCCCUAUCUACUGUGGGCGCUGGAUAUUUGAGGGGAGCUGUUCCUAGUACGAGAGGAUCGGAAUGGACGUACCUCUGGUGCACCAGUUGUCGUGCCAACGGCACAGCUGGGUAGCUAUGCACGGAAGGGAUAACCACUGAAAGCAUCUAAGUGGGAAGCCUCCCCCAAGAUUAGAUAUCCCUCAAGGUUCCAGGUAGACUACCUGGUUGAUAGGUCGCAGGUGUAAGUACAGUAAUGUAUUCAGCCGAGCGAUACUAAUAAACCGUUUGACUUGCCC
rnacentral:rRNA from 1 species